UUCGCAAUGCCCGAAAGGGUGACGAAGCGACGCCGCGUGGGUGAGGAAGGCCUUCGGGUUGUAAAGCCCUGUCAGGAGUUAAGAAAUGUAGGUUCGCUAAUAUCGUGCCUAUUUGACAAAGGCUCCAAAGGAAGCCACGGCUAACUCUGUGCCAGCAGCCGCGGUAAUACAGAGGUGGCAAGCGUUGUUCGGAAUUAUUGGGCGUAAAGAGCACGUAGGUGGAUUUGUAAGUCAGAUGUGAAAGCCUUCUGUUCAACGGGAGAAUUGCAUCUGAAACUACAAACCUUGAGUAUAGGAGGGGAGAAUGGAACUUCUGGUGGAGCGGUGAAAUGCGUAGAUAUCAGAAGGAACGCCGGCGGCGAAAGCGAUUCUCUGGCCUAUUACUGACACUCAGUGUGCGAAAGCUAGGGGAGCAAACGGGAUUAGAUACCCAGGUAGUCCUAGCCGUAAACGAUGGGCACUAAGUAGAGGGGUUUU
rnacentral:rRNA from 1 species